CAACAUGAUGUGAUCACAGCAGCUUCUGUAGGUCUGUGGACAGUUAGAUGUGCUACCAUUAGCACGAGCAGACAGCUGUGAUGAGCUUUUGGACUUUAACAGCAGCUGUUGGCUCCAUUUGCAGCUGACUCAGAGCAGAUGCUGAUCUUCCAUCAGUCCUUCUGUUUCUCCCACAGAGCAUCUUCCAUGAUUAGAGCCAGUGUGGAUAACCACGUUUUAAGAGCUUUCUUAGUGUGCUCUCCUUUUUCUUCCCUUCUGUCUCAGAGGGAAAGUCCUGUUCUCACUGUCCUGUGUCCUGCUGUUGCUUAAAACUUGAGCUUCCUCAGAUCCAUCAUGGUUUAGUAAGAGGACAGAAAGCCUCCAAUAAACAUUUCUACAUGUUUAUAAAGCCCAGACUCAAUUUCUGCUUUUGUUUCAUCCAACCUUCCUCACACGAUUUCACUUCUCCUUCCUGAUCUCAGUAUCACAUGAUUGCAUUAUCACAUGAUCAUCUCCAGCACAAACAGCACAAUCUGCUGCUCCAUAGUUCACAGCAAUGGACUCACAGCUAGAUCAAUGAGGCUGACCAGAACCUGAGAAUCAGAGCAGCAGUACAGAAGCCAGCUGUGCCAGAGAGGACCGAGCUUCAGGCCCAGAGGCCUGAGGGCAUCCCACCCGCCGGAAGGAACCCAGCCGGGCCACAGGCGCCUGGCCCCGCCAAUCAGCUACCAGGAGUGAGCCGGUACAUACAUGAGCGCCCAGCCCCAGAUGACAAGGACCACCAACACACCAACGUCUGAGGGCAUCAGCCACCGGCAGGGAGUGUGGUAGAAAGUGUGUGUGAGCUGAGCAGCAUGGAUCAGUGUGAGGACAGAGAGGAGGGAGCCCCUCCCUCUAAAAGCACUCUGUGUGGGGAACAUGAGAGCCAGACCAAAGCUCAGAGG